rnacentral:tRNA from 1 species
AAGAAAUUAUUAUAAUUUAGUAUAUAAAAUUGCAAAUUUUAAGGUUAUUUUCUUU